UAGAUGAGGUCCAAGGAAAGAUCCUGUCCUCAGCCGUUCCCUCCAGCAGCAGGAACUCGCCUCUCUUCCCACUCCAGCUGGAAGCUCUCACAGCUCCCAGCCAGUCUUGGGUUACAACAAACACUUCAGGGCUUGCCACGCUUGGAGGAGACUCUCAGGGAGAUAAUCUCUCCUUGGAAGGCUCUUUUCUGUGGCUGCAUCACCACACAGAAAUGCACUGACCGAGCUGGAGGAGGAUUUUACGGAGCAGACUUCUUUCCACUUGUCCCGCAGGUGUUCAGAGCAAGAUUUUCAGCUGCCUGUUCUAAAUAUGGGGAAAAACCCUCAUGUUUCAUAGGUGAAUAAAACACUUCUUCCCCUUUUUUUUCACCAGGGAUGGGGUGAUAGCUGUAAAUAAAGAAACAGGCUCCUUUACUGAUGAGUAUCUCCCAGAGCAGCGAUCCCACCUCUAUGGAAUCACAGCUGUUUAUCCCUACUGCCCUGGAGCCAGGAAAUAGUAACUCCAUUUUCAAGGGAACGAGGAGGAUCUUUGCACCCAGAGGAAUUUCAGACCCAGAGAACUGUCACUGCAUACAAGGGGGAGAAGUCCCUCACCGAGGCCAAUGAAGUGCCCUGCUUUCCUGCAAAAGAUUUUCAAGUAUUUUUUAUAGUUAUACCUCAAGACUUUACUACUGUAUUUUUGUACCAAAUGGAAAAUGUUGAGAUAUCACCAAAAAAAAAAAAAAACAAACUGGGAAGCUCAAGCCAUGACUCAAACUCUUGCUCAUGCAAGAUUUAAAAUGUAGCUUUUUUUUUUUUUUUACUCCAAUGUUUUAUUUUAUUUUAUUGGAAGAACAAUGGAUUCAUUUUUCAUAGUUUUGACAAUCUGACCAAGAGGUCUUUUUAUCCAAAAAUAAGAAUUAAGUGCCUAUGGGAAGCUGUGGAUGCAGUUAAUUACUGGGUCUAAUUAACAAACAGCCCUGAAGACAGAGACUGUGUGUGCUCCAAAAUCCUGCAGAACAGGGAUGGGAUGUGGCAAAGGCAUUGAAGAUUUUCCAGAGGAUGAUUCUGUGUUUUCACCACUGCCUCCAUGCAUGUCUUUUAGUAUUUAUAUUAGAAGAAUAUGCUAGAAUUGAUCUGUUCAUGCUUGUUGGGUCUCCCAAGUGCCUUCCUAGACCUACCCAGUGUAGACCAAUACAUGUUCAGAAAUACCAGUUACGUUGUAAUGCUUCACUUUUUCUAAGUUACUUCAAUAAUUGAAUAAAAAAGGUUGGUUUUAA